rnacentral:rRNA from 1 species
AGUGAACGCUGGCGGUAGGCCUAACACAUGCAAGUCGAACGGCAGCACAGUAAGAGCUUGCUCUUACGGGUGGCGAGUGGCGGACGGGUGAGGAAUACAUCGGAAUCUACUUUUUCGUGGGGGAUGACGUAGGGAAACUUACGCUAAUACCGCAUACGACCUACGGGUGAAAGCAGGGGAUCUUCGGACCUUGCGCGAUUGAAUGAGCCGAUGUCGGAUUAGCUAGUUGGCGGGGUAAAGGCCCACCAAGACGACGAUCCGUAGCUGGUCUGAGUGGAUGAUCAGCCACACUGGAACUGAGACACGGUCCAGACUCCUACGGGAGGCAGCAGUGGGGAAUAUUGGACAAUGGGCGCAAGCCUGAUCCAGCCAUACCGCGUGGGUGAAGAAGGCCUUCGGGUUGUAAAGCCCUUUUGUUGGGAAAGAAAAGCAGCAGGUUAAUACCCCGCUGUUCUGACGGUACCCAAAGAAUAAGCACCGGCUAACUUCGUG